GGAAGGGUCGCUACGCCCCCCUCACACACACACACACGCCGCUUCGAUCCUCCCCUCAACGGCCCAAGGCCGCCGUCACGGCUGCGGGCUCGUUCACCCCCUCCCCUCGGUUCCCUGGCUCCGGUCGCGCACCGGCGGCGGCUGCUCUAAUGUAACUUACGGGAGCUGGGCCGCCCGGGGCCCCACUCGCCGCCGCGGCAUGUGGACGCUGCUCAUUGGCGGGGCGAGCAGAGCGGGGCGGGGGAUGGAGCGGCCCCGCCCGGGCCGCUGAGGCGAUGGCGGUGGCGGUGGCGGUGCCUGGCGCGGUCCUGCGCAACGCGGGGCGGCCGCCCUCCGCCCGGGGGAGGAGGCGGAGGCGGGCGCUGCAGGCCUCAUGCGGCGGCGGGAGAGCUUCCGCCCUGCCGGGGAUGAGGCCCGCAGGUGGGGGGCGAGCUGGCCUGGCCCCGGGGUCGCAGCCGCCUCCUGGUUCGGUCUCAACCCGCGUUUGGUGGUUGAGGGGACGAGGGGAUGCCGCCCAGUCAGGAGGGCUGAGGCGAUAGGUGCCUCGGUGCAGCGGCCUGUCGUGACUGGAGUCGCGUGUGGGGUUGCUCCCGCUUGUGUCGUGACAGGAGCUUCAAAUACGCAAGGGUGGGAGUGGGACUGUCUCCACUUCUGUGGUGACAGGAACCUCGUGCAGUCUUGAAUCCACCCGAGGAGAGAAAAAAAUCUCGAGCUGUGUGCCAGCGUCCAUGCACCGAGGGGUUUGCGCCCCAGAGGUGCUGCCCCGGCCAUGACGGGGCCUGUGCUGACAGAGCACUGCCUCCCACGAGACUUCCCCAGUUCCCAUUCCAGCCGUCGCACCCUGCCCCGCCAGCAUAACCGUAACACGCACACUCAGCCCUGGCUUGCAGCGAGAUAACAUGAGGAGGUAUAAACUGCACGGUGUGAUUUCAGCAGCGUGUGUGGUGUGAGAUACCAGCCUUCCUCAGCGCAGUAUCUCGGUGAACAGCUCGGUGAUGCGGCUGGCAAUUCUGCGUGGGCACUGGUGCCAACACAGCUGAGGGAUGCUGCAGCUGCCCAAGGGCAGGGAUCGGGGGCAAGAGAGGGGAACCAACCCAGUCUGUGGGAUUUCACAAAGCCAGCUACAAGCCCUGGUCUUUGGAAGGGCCCCGUUAAGCAGGCGUCCUCCAAGCGCAGCUGUCAGGUAAGCCUGGAGCUUCCUAGGGCUGUGUGCCUUCUGUUGUAACUGGUGGAGGAGGAGGAGAUGGCAUAAAUAUUGUUUUCCCUUUAUAUAAUAUGAUUAUUGCCUUGGAAUCAGGACACGUAGGGCUUCUAGUUCCUACUCCCAGGUUUGCUUCUGUAACUCAUUAACAGUCUGUGUAGGCUGAAAUACCGAGCAGUCAUGGAGCAGGUACCAAGUGAGUGCAGUUUGAAUCAACAUGCUGAGCUGGGGAACUCGAUGGCCGAGGAGAAAAUAAAAGAAGAAAAAUGAACAAAA